rnacentral:sRNA from 1 species
CACCCUUAGCGAGAGGUAUACCAUUCGUGGCAUCCUCUGGAUGUUGUUUCGGCAUCCUGCAUGUAAUCUGAGUGAC